rnacentral:misc_RNA from 1 species
GAAGAAGAUGAGGUUGGUGGUACAAUUUAAUUUCUAUGUAAUUUUGCCAGAAAAAUCAUUAUAUCCUUUCUAUUACUGUUGUUAACUUAGCCAUUAUUCUCAUACAUGAUAUAAUAUUGCUAAUUUGUUAUUGACUCGUCUGCAAUGAAUGUAAGGCAUGUUAUGCUAUGGUUAACAGGAAGUCAAGUAAAUGCAAAGACAAUUUG